rnacentral:rRNA from 1 species
AGUGGCGGACGGGUGAGUAACGCGUGAGAAUCUGCCUUGGGGUCGGGGACAACCACUGGAAACGGUGGCUAAUACCGGAUAAGCCGAUUGGUGAAAGAUUUAUUGCCCGAAGAGGAGCUCGCGUCUGAUUAGCUAGUUGGUGAGGUAAGAGCUCACCAAGGCAGCGAUCAGUAGCUGGUCUGAGAGGACGAUCAGCCACACUGGGACUGAGACACGGCCCAGACUCCUACGGGAGGCAGCAGUGGGGAAUUUUCCGCAAUGGGCGAAAGCCUGACGGGGCAAGACCGCGUGAGGGGGGAAGGCUCUUGGGUUGUAAACCUCUUUUCUCAGGGAAGAAGCUCUGACGGUACCUGAGGAAUCAGCCUCGGCUAACUCCGUGCCAGCAGCCGCGGUAAUACGGAGGAGGCAAGCGUUAUCCGGAAUUAUUGGGCGUAAAGCGUCCGCAGGUGGCGAUUCAAGUCUGCUGUCAAAGCACGGGGCUUAACUCCGUAAAGGCAGUGGAAACUGAAUAGCUAGAGUGCCGUAGGGGUAGAGGGAAUUCCCGGUGUAGCGGUGAAAUGCGUAGAGAUCGGGAAGAACAUCGGUGGCGAAAGCGCUCUACUGGACGGCAACUGACACUCAGGGACGAAAGCUAGGGGAGCGAAUGGGAUUAGAUACCCC